rnacentral:rRNA from 1 species
GCGUAGGCAGCUCACUGGGCUACAACUGACGCUGAGGCACGAAGGUGCGGGGAUCAAACAGGAUUAGAUACCCUGGUAGUCCGCACAGUAAACGAUGAAUACUAGCUGUUGGCGAUACACAGCCAGUGGCACAGCGAAAGCGUUAAGUAUUCCACCUGGGGAGUACGUUCGCAAGAAUGAAACUCAAAGGAAUUGACGGGGGCCCGCACAAGCGGAGGAACAUGUGGUUUAAUUCGAUGAUACGCGAGGAACCUUACCCGGGCUUGAAUUGCAUCUGAAUACAGCGGAAACGUUGUAGCCAGCAAUGGCAGAUGUGAAGGUGCUGCAUGGUUGUCGUCAGCUCGUGCCGUGAGGUGUCGGCUUAAGUGCCAUAACGAGCGCAACCCUCAUCAUUAGUUACUAACAGGUCAUGCUGAGGACUCUAGUGAGACUGCCGGCGUAAGCUGUGAGGAAGGUGGGGAUGACGUCAAAUCAGCACGGCCCUUACGUCCGGGGCGACACACGUGUUACAAUGGGGGGGACAGCAGGCAGCGAAGUGGUGACACCGAGCGAAUCCUCAAACCCUCUCUCAGUUCGGAUCGAAGUCUGCAACCCGACUUCGUGAAGCUGGAUUCGCUAGUAAUCGCGCAUCAGCCAUGGCGCGGUGAAUACGUUCCCGGGCCUUGUACACACCGCCCGUCAAGCCAUGGGAGUUGGGG